AUUUGAUGAGCUAACAACUGAA
rnacentral:snRNA from 1 species